GACGUAGGGCGCGAGCGUUGUCCGGAUUUAUUGGGCGUAAAGAGCUCGUAGGCGGCUUGUCGCGUCGACUGUGAAAUCCCGAGGCUCAACUUCGGGCUUGCAGUCGAUACGGGCAGGCUAGAGUUCGGUAGGGGAGACUGGAAUUCCCGGUGUAGCGGUGAAAUGCGCAGAUAUCGGGAGGAACACCGGUGGCGAAGGCGGUUCUCUGGGCCUGUACUGACGCUGAGGAGCGAAAGCGUGGGGAGCGAACAGG
rnacentral:rRNA from 1 species